rnacentral:rRNA from 1 species
GACGGAGGAUGCAAGCGUUAUCCGGAAUUACUGGGCUUAAAGAGUUCGUAGGCGGCGCAGAAAGUAGGGUGUGAAAGCCCUCGGCUCAACCGAGGAAUUGCGCUCUAAACUACUGUGCUUGAGGGACCUAGAGGUGAGCGGAACUGAUGGUGGAGCGGUGAAAUGCGUUGAUAUCAUCAGGAACACCGGAGGCGAAGGCGGCUCACUGGGGGUCUUCUGACGCUGAGGAACGAAAGCCAGGGGAGCGAACGGG